AUUGAACGCUGGCGGCGUGCUUAACACAUGCAAGUCGUGCGGUAACAGGCGUAGCAAUACGUGCUGACGAGCGGCGAACGGGUGCGUAAUACAUGGGAAUCUGCCCUUUAGUGGGGAAUAACCCGGCGAAAGCCGGGCUAAUGCCGCAUAAGAUCUUCGGAUGAAAGCGGGGGAUCGUAAGACCUCGCGCUGAUGGAUGAGCCCAUGUCGGAUUAGCUAGUUGGUGAGGUAAAGGCUCACCAAGGCGACGAUCCGUAGCUGGUCUGAGAGGACGGCCAGCCACACUGGGACUGAGACACGGCCCAGACUCCUACGGGAGGCAGCAGUGGGAAUAUUGGACAAUGGGGAACCCUGAUCCAGCGACGCCGCGUGUGUGGAAGAAGGGCCUGCGGGUUUGUAAAGCACUUUCGGUGGGAACGAAAUAUGCCGGGCUAACUA
rnacentral:rRNA from 1 species